rnacentral:rRNA from 1 species
CUACGGGGUGCUGCAGUGGGGAAUAUUGGACAAUGGGGGAAACCCUGAUCCAGCAAUGCCGCGUGUGUGAAGAAGGCCUGCGGGUUGUAAAGCACUUUCGGUUGGGAGGACUGCUUCUAGCACUAAUAUUGUUGGAAGUUGACGUUACCUUCAGAAGAAGCACCGGCUAACUCCGUGCCAGCAGCCGCGGUAAUACGGAGGGUGCAGGCGUUAAUCGGAAUUACUGGGCGUAAAGCGCGCGUAGGCGGCUAGAUCAGUCGGGUGUGAAAGCCCCGGGCUUAACCUGGGAACUGCAUCCGAUACUGUCUAGCUUGAGUACAGGAGAGGAGAGUGGAAUUCCACAUGUAGCGGUGAAAUGCGUAGAUAUGUGGAGGAACACCAAUGGCGAAGGCAGCUCUCUGGCCUGAUACUGACGCUGAGGUGCGAAUGCGUGGGGAGCAAACAGGAUUAGAUACCCGAGUAGUC